rnacentral:rRNA from 1 species
AACGAACGCUGGCGGCAGGCUUAACACAUGCAAGUCGAACGCCCCGCAAGGGGAGUGGCAGACGGGUGAGUAACGCGUGGGAAUCUACCCAGAUCUUCGGAACAACCCAGGGAAACUUGGGCUAAUACCGGAUACGCCCUACGGGGGAAAGAUUUAUCGGUUCUGGAUGAGCCCGCGUUGGAUUAGCUAGUUGGUGAGGUAAUGGCUCACCAAGGCUACGAUCCAUAGCUGGUCUGAGAGGAUGAUCAGCCACACUGGAACUGAGACACGGCCCAGACUCCUACGGGAGGCAGCAGUGGGGAAUAUUGGACAAUGGGCGAAAGCCUGAUCCAGCCAUGCCGCGUGAGUGAUGAAGGCCUUAGGGUUGUAAAGCUCUUUUAGUGGGGAAGAUAAUGACGGUACCCACAGAAGAAGCCCCGGCUAACUUCGUGCCAGCCGCCGCCGUAA